rnacentral:rRNA from 1 species
GACGAACACUGGCGGCGCGCUUAACACAUGCAAGUCGAACGGAAAGGCCUGCUUUCCCUUGUGGAUUGCGGGUACUCGAGUGGCGAACGGGUGAGUAACACGUGAGUGAUCUGCCCCCAACUUGGGUAUAAGCCUGGGAAACUGGGUCUAAUUCCCGAUAGGACUGCAGGGUGGUGCCUGUGGUGGAAAACGAUUUUCUAGUGGUUGGGGAUGAGCUCGCGGCCUAUCAGCUUGUUGGUGGGGUAAUGGCCUACCAAGGCGGCGACGGGUAGCCGGCCUGGGAGGGUGGACGGCCACAUUGGGACUGAGAUACGGCCCAGACUCCUACGGGAGGCAGCAGUGGGGAAGAUUGCACAAUGGGCGGAAGCCUGAUGCAGCGACGCCGCGUGGGGGAUGACGGCCUUCGGGUGGUAAACUCCUUUCGACCGCGAGGAAGCCACCUGGUUGGAAGGGUGGUGACGGUAGUGGUAGAAGAAGCACCGGCUAACUACGUG